ACUUCCUCGCAAACUUCUUGUCUGCGCCUGCUACUUCUGCUUCUGCUGCGUCGGCUUCAAGUUGCCCUGUGAUGAGAGGAGACUGAAGCGCGACAGAAUCGACGAAACAUGCUUGUCACUAGCUAGUAUUGUCUUCAGGCUCUCUCUCUCUCUCUCUCUCUCUCGGGAGGACGCCGCCCUUCCUCUGCUCCCUGUCCAAGCAAGCGAGCUCUGGAUCCACCCCCACAACCACGGCAUCGGCACCGGCACCGGAGGCCGUGGAGAUGCAGCUCCGUCGCGCAGUCGUCGAGCCAAGCAGUAGCGCUCCAUGGGGGGCAUCAACAUCAGCCUCGACGGUUCGGUCAUCUACUCCUACCACCAUGACUCCCCGCAAAAGUUCAAUCUCUCUCUCUCUAUCUCUCAGCUGUGAGCUAGUUCCUAAUACUGUUCCUAUUAAGAAUCCAAUCCAUCCUGGGGAGAGCCCACUGUAGUGAUGAGCGAGCAACUUUGGCAAGCACCAGGCCAACUGGAAGGCAGGCCCCAUCAGAGCCAAGAGCAUGCCGAAGAAGGCGGCGGCGUAUGUAUGAUGCUUGCUUCUUCUAAUCUGCCGUCUUAUGUCAUGCCUGUAGUGUAUGGUGGCUGUAUAUAUAUGGUGAUGAUUUUAUUUGUUUCUUCCAUUUGGAUGCAACAGGUGUGGUCCAUGGAUGUUAGAAUGAGGAACUGUAUGAUAGUAGAUACGGCAACAGUGUAAUAGUAUAAUCAGGAAUAACGACAUUUCCAUCA